GAGCACAGAGGAAACCGCUACACCACAGUUCCUUAGGAAAGGGAGCUGUGAGGAUCACAUGGGCUGUAGAUGUGACGCAACCCGAGAACAUGAGUGUGAGCACUCGACUGCAGCCACACACCCUGCCCUGAACUUGCCAGGAUCAAGACCAGACAAGCAGCAGGCUCAUCGCCUCCAAACAAGGAGGUGAGGACACUGGUAGGAAGCCAAGCCUGGGCCAAUUAUGAAGUGGCUAAGAGAAGAAACCAGAAGCCAAGAGUAGAAGAUUCAGAUAAGAAGCCAAACUGUGACAGAAGACCAG
rnacentral:lncRNA from 1 species